rnacentral:rRNA from 1 species
GAUUGAACGCUGGCGGCGUGCCUGACACAUGCAAGUCGAGCGGUAACAGGUGUAGCAAUACAUGCUGACGAGCGGCGGACGGGUGAGUAACGCUUGGGAAUCUGCCUAUUAGUGGGGGACAACCCGGGGAAACUCGGGCUAAUACCGCAUACGCACUACGGUGGAAAGCCGGGACCGGCAAGGCCUGGCGCUAACAGAUGAGCCCAACGUCGGAUUAGCUAGUUGGUAGGGAACGGCCUACCAAGGCGACGAUCCGUAACUGGUCUGAGAGGACGACCAGUCGCACCGGAACUGAGACACGGUCCGGACUCUACGGGAGGCAGCAGUGGGGAAUAUUGGACAAUGGGCGAAAGCCUGAUCCAGCGACGCGCGUGGGUGAAGAAGGCCUGCGGGUUGUAAAGCCCUUUCAGGUGGGGAAGAAAAGCCU